rnacentral:misc_RNA from 1 species
CCUUCUCAAACAAUCAUGUUUGGUAGUGAGUGAUACUCUGUCCAGGGUUAACUUGAAAUUGCAAGCCUGUUAUUUGGUUGUGAUUUUGCUAGCUUGGAUGACUUUGUCCAGUCUAGCUAAUACCGAACUGUCGUAUUAGGUUUUACCAACUUCGGCAGACUGCGUGUUAGCUUGGGCGCUAUAAAGACUGAGUCGUAAACGAUCUAUCGUUUGUUUGAGCUUUCGCAUGCGCAACCCGGCGAACAAUGUUCUCAAA